UACCAGCACCCCGAGUGGUCGGGACGUUUAUUGGGCCUAAAGCAUCCGUAGCCGGUUCUACAAGUCUUCCGUUAAAUCCACCUGCUUAACAGAUGGGCUGCGGAAGAUACUAUAGAGCUAGGAGGCGGGAGAGGCAAGCGGUACUCGAUGGGUAGGGGUAAAAUCCGUUGAUCCAUUGAAGAACACCAGUGGCGAAGGCGGCUUGCCAGAACGCGCUCGGCGGUGAGGGAUGAAAGCUGGGGGAGCAAACCGG
rnacentral:rRNA from 1 species